rnacentral:tmRNA from 1 species
GGGGCUGACCGGAUUUGACAGCAAGGAAGUGAUAAUGUAAGCAUGUCGAGCGUUGAGAAUAUGGCUCGUCCCGAAAGGGUACCAAUGGUAAAAAACUAAUUCUCAAAAGCCAAUAAAUGGCGAUAACUAUAAUUACGCGUUAGCAGCUUAGUCAAAAGAUUAAGUUACUGACUGUUUCCCGGGAAACCUUUCUCAACGGUGUCCCGUACGAAGCAUCAUAAAAGUUGAGAUAGUUCCGUUAAAGUCUUGGUAACGUAAUGAAUUUUUAGAGAAUACGGAUUUGAUUGGUGUUCCUUUCACCUGUUAAAUCCCGACAAUCAAUUAGAGGAUAAGCA